GAGGGGCCCUGGGUUCUGUAGUGGGGCCCUGGGUUAUGUAGAGGGAUCCUGGGUUAAGAGCUGGCUUAUUAUCAGUGUCGUAUAUUAGAUUCCAGAGUAUAAUUCUGGAUUGAUAAAUAAGGUCUCCAUAGUUAAGAAACUUAGAAAAAACACUGAUUAAUCCAGUUGCUUUACCUUGUAAGGGAGAACAUGGAUGCAGAGAAGCUCAAUGGCUUCCUGAGUCAUGGGUUUGGUGUCUGGACAGGAUCCUUUGUGGUUUCAGGUGACAGAGGUGACUUCAGCUCCCAAUGUGGUCAGGCUCCACUUGGUGCCAGGGACGAGGGUGGAAGGCGCCUGUCUCAGAGGCUCAGACCCAGAGCUGAGACUUCCCCAAGCACAGGGCUUGCAAAUAUUGGACUCCCAGGAAGCCCCAGGAGUGGGGACACAGGGAGGAAGAUUGCUGUGGUCCUGGCGGCCCCUGCCGAUUUCCCAGCCUUGCUCUUUCCGUGGUCAGUUGUGGAUUGGAGUCAACCUGGGCGCCCGUCUGCUGGAGUCCACUGGGGCGGGCGUGGGUGGAGGGGGCCUUCUGCAGAGCUAGUGGGGUGUUGUGGGGGCCGGUGUGUGGGUGCUCGGCACACACCACCACGUGACAGGCGUGUCCGGCUCAUGCAGAUGGGACUCUGGGGAAUCAUGGUUGUAGAGAUGAUCACCUCAAAGGCUUGACUU
rnacentral:lncRNA from 1 species